AGACGAUUGAAAGCUUGCUUUUGAAAGUCGAGUGGCAAACGGGUGAGUAACGCGUAGACAACCUGCCUUUGAGAUGGGGACAACAGUUCGAAAGGACUGCUAAUACCGAAUGUUGUAUAUUUUCCACAUGGAAGAUAUAUUAAAGAUGGCCUCUAUAUAUAAGCUAUCGCUCAAAGAUGGGUCUGCGUCUGAUUAGCUAGUUGGUGGGGUAAUGGCCUACCAAGGCAACGAUCAGUAGCCGGUCUGAGAGGAUGAACGGCCACAUUGGGACUGAGACACGGCCCAGACUCCUACGGGAGGCAGCAGUGGGGAAUCUUCCACAAUGGACGAAAGUCUGAUGGAGCAACGCCGCGUGAGUGAAGAAGGGUUUCGGCUCGUAAAGCUCUGUUGUCGGGGACGAAUGUGAGAUACUUGAAUAAAGUGUCUUAAUGACGGUACCUGACGAGGAAGCCACGGCUAACUACGUGCCAGCAGCCGCGGUAAUACGUAGGUGGC
rnacentral:rRNA from 1 species